GACGUAUUCGUGCGUAUUCAGCCAUUGAAUGGUGGAAUUUGUUUGUUGAAAUUCUGCAAAGUUUUCAGCUUGCAAUUGUUCUGCCAUUUGUUGGUGCAUUUGCGUACAAAGUGCGCCGAAUCGAUCGAUUGUGUUGUUUGAAGCGAACGAAGAGGACUCGCUUUCGAGUGAGAAACCUGAGUUUGUGGAUGGCAAAUGCGAUUGGUUGUUCNAAAAUGAGGCUGGUUCUUCGAGGCAGGCCGAUUGGAUUAGAGGGGUUUUGGUUCGAUGCAUGCAUCUGGCCUUGAUCAUUUUGAUCCAGUUGGUCUGUUUCUCUGCCUCAUAUUCGGUGUUUAGUCGGUCACCCAUUUGACCCGUCUUGAAACACGGACCAAGGAGUUUAAGGUGUACGCAAGUCAUUGAGUGUUGAAAUUCAAGGCGUAAUGAAAGUGGGACAUUUAGUGUCUGUGAUGUGAUGAAAUGGUCGAUUCGUUGGCUUUUCAGCAACAUCAACCCAUGACUGGAAUUCAUUCUGUUGUGGAGUUCGAGCGUACGCUUUGAGACCCGAAAGAUGGUGAACUAUGCCUGAACAGGACGAAGUCGGAAGAAAUUCCGAUGGAAGUCCGAAGCGGUUCUGACGUGCAAAUCGA
rnacentral:rRNA from 1 species